AUUUGACAAUUGACAGAUGAUCGACGGUAAAAAUUGUAAAAUAUAAAUAAAUCUUGGAAUAUAAAAUAAACCUUAUAUUUUAUAUUCAUAUUUAUAUUCUAAGAAAUAAAUCAAAUCCAAAUCAUAUAUCCUAACAACAAUAACUAAGUCGGGAACGGGAACAAUGGAUAAAAGCCAAAAAAAGGAGAACAGAUCUAAAAUUAAACCCCAAUCAACGCCAAAACAUAGUGUACCAAAGCCAGCCAAUAAAAAGAAAUGGUGACCUAGAACGCAAGGAAAUAGCUGAUAAAAGAAAUAAAAGUGAAAAAAAUAAUGCUGAGACUUCUCUCGACCAUGAACAAACACCACUAACACCAGAUAUUUUAAAUGUAGGAACAGGAGAAACUGCUGGAACUUAACACAAAGGGGUUUGACUAGUGAAGAUUUGGAUAAACAAAAGGAAUUACUUUGGGCUAUAGCUACAUGCAGGUUUAUUUCCUUGUGGCUUCCUAUGUAUAUUCUUAUGAACUAUACACUUCGAUAUGUUUUUAGUCUCAUGAAGAUUUUAUAAUUUAUUAUUUUAUUUAUAAUGUUAUAUUUAUGAUGAAUAAACAUUAUUAUUAUUACGGUAAUUUCCGUAAUAAAAUUUAAAUAAAUUAACUGUAAUCAAUAAACCGUUUUUAAUGUUAAUAAAUUAUCAAUAAUGA